GAUGAAGAACGUAGCGAAAUGCGAUACUUGGUGUGAAUUGCAGAAUCCCGUGAACCAUCGAGUCUUUGAACGCAAGUUGCGCCCGAAGCCAUUAGGCCGAGGGCACGCCUGCCUGGGUGUCACACGUCGUUGCCCCCCCAUCUACUCCUUCGGCAUUGCGGGGGGCGGAUGAUGGCCUCCCGUGCGCCUCGUCGCGCGGUUGGCAUAAAUGCCAAGUCCUCAGCGACGCACGCCACGACAAUCGGUGGUUGCGAAACCUCGGUUGCCCGUCGUGUGCGGUCGUCGCGCAUCGAGGGCUCGAAAAAAUUGCCGGGCUCCGGCUCGGCUUUCAACGCGACCCCAGGUCAGGCGGGGUUACCCGCUGAAUUUAAGCAUAUCAAUAAGCGGAGGA
rnacentral:misc_RNA from 1 species